UGAGGAAUAUUGCGCAAUGGGGGCAACCCUGACGCAGCAACGCCGCGUGGAGGACGAAGGUUUUCGGAUUGUAAACUCCUUAUCUGGGGGAAGAGGAAGGACGGUACCCCAGGACGAAGACACGGCUAACUAGGUGCCAGCAGCCGCGGUAAUACCUAGGUGUCGAGCGUUAUCCGGAAUUACUGGGCGUAAAGGGUGCGCAGGCGGCGAUACAAGUCUGGCGUGAAAGCUUCUGGCUUAACUGGGAGAGGACGUUGGAAACUGUAUGGCUAGAGUGAAUGAGAGGGGGGCGGAAAUCCCGGUGUAGUGGUGGAAUGCGUAGAUAUCGGGAAGAACACCAGAGGCGAAGGCGGCCUCCUGGCAUUUUACUGACGCUGAGGCACGAAAGCGUGGGUAGCGAACGGGAUUAGAUACCCCCGUAGUCC
rnacentral:rRNA from 1 species